rnacentral:rRNA from 1 species
CCCUUAGAUGUCCGGGGCUGCACGCGCGCUACACUGAAGGAAUCAGCGUGCUAAAACCAUUGUCGAAAGGCAUUGGUAAACCCAUUAAAAUCCUACGUGAUUGGGAUCGGGAAUUGCAAUUAUUUCCCUUGAACGAGGAAUUCCCAGUAAGUGUGGGUCAUAAGCUCGCGUUGAUUACGUCCCUGCCCUUUGUACACACCGCCCGUCGCUGCCCGGGACUGAGCCGUUUCGAGAAAAGCGGGGACUGCUGCUGUCGGGGCUUUCGGGCCUUGGCUUCGGUGGAAACCGCUUUAAUCGCAGUGGCCUGAACCGGGCAAAAGUCGUAACA